rnacentral:rRNA from 1 species
UGGGGAAUCUUCCGCAAUGGACGAAAGUCUGACGGAGCAACGCCGCGUGAGUGAAGACGGCCUUCGGGUUGUAAAGCUCUGUGAUCCGGGACGAAAGAGCCUGAGGUGAAUAGCCUAAGGAAGUGACGGUACCGGAAAAGCAAGCCACGGCUAACUACGUGCCAGCAGCCGCGGUAAUACGUAGGUGGCAAGCGUUGUCCGGAAUUAUUGGGCGUAAAGCGCGCGCAGGCGGCUUCCUAAGUCCAUCUUAAAAGUGCGGGGCUUAACCCCGUGAUGGGAUGGAAACUGGGAAGCUGGAGUAUCGGAGAGGAAGGUGGAAUUCCUAGUGUAGCGGUGAAAUGCGUAGAGAUUAGGAAGAACACCGGUGGCGAAGGCGACUUUCUGGACGAAAACUGACGCUGAGGCGCGAAAGCGUGGGGAGCAAACAGG